rnacentral:lncRNA from 1 species
GAAGAACUUCAUGUGGAUCUUUUGUAUCUUUUCUUCUUUCGCUUCUUUUGUUUCUUUUCCCACUUUUUUUUUUUCAUUUUUCUUCUGUUUUUUCUUCUUCCACUUCCUCUUCUUCUGCUUCUCCUUCUUCUGUUUUGUUUUCAUCAGUGAGAGACCAAGAGAGAACAAGGGAAUAUGAGUGACAGAGAGAUUGAGUGGUUCGAUUCGGUCCACUGGGGUCUGAUCGGUUUGGUUCAAUAAACUAAUUCGGUUUGACGCGGGUUUAGUCUGGCCUCAUAUUGUCUUUGAAUUAGUCCGGCUCGAACCAGCAGUUUUAGGAUUUUUUCAACCGAUUUAGUCAUUGAACCAGUUUUAGGGUUUGCCUAGUUAAAAGACAGUUUACCCCUUUUUGUUUCAUCUUCUUCGUCAUGCCGCAUAGGGAAAAGAAGAGUCCCACUCUGCACUUCGCGCACAGCUGCAAUAGAGGCCAUUGGUUUUGCGUCCUCCAGAGAGGUAACGUCAGCACUCAACAACUGGAUCAUCAGAUUGAGUUUUUCCUCUAUCUGAUCGAAAUUUUCGCAAUGUCGGCCAUCAUCGGCUCCCAUUGGGAUCUGGAACCUGCCUCUGAUACUAAAUUGUUAGGAUCUGGUUUUGACAUGUAAUUCACCGGACCUUCAAUUUAGAAAAAUAUUAAACUUUGAAUGAUUUUGGGGUGAUUAUGAGAAAAUUUGAAAGGUUGGGCAGAAUCUGAAAUUGAGAAAAUAUUGGGGCAAAAUUUGUAUUUGAGGAAAUAGUGGGGCAGAAGUUGAAUUUAAGAAAAUAUUGGUGCAGAAUUUGAAUUUUAGGGAAGAAAAGAAGAUUCUGAAAAGAGAGAAGAGAGGAAGUUGGGAAGAGAGAAGAAGAGAGUUUGUGAGAAAGAGAGAGUGGAGAUUUUAGAGGGAGAAAGAAAUAGAG